AGCGAGCGAGACGCUCGAAUGUAAACAGUCCGACUUUGGUGCGCGCGCGAAAGGUCGGUAAUAUACACAUACUCUACAGUACACCUCAAUAGCACGUUAUUACAGUUUUAGAUGCCGGCUCGUGCGUGUCGGAAUAUGUCGCGCGCGUUAUUUUCAACUUUUAUAAUUUCGUCACAGCGAUCGUGAGCCUAAUUGAAAUAUUUUGCAUAGUUCAUCACUAUCUUGGGAUCAUUGUUAGCCAUAACAUCUUGAAAUAUAACAGAACUGACAAAAUCUACGACUACGUAGGAGCUGUUUCAAAGGAUGGAGUUUCUGCGGAUGCGGUCCGUUACUGUGGUAGGGUCAUUAACAACAACAGCAUCUUGAAAUAACUGGUUACACGGUGGAAGCGGUUUCGAAGGAUGGCGUUCCUAUGGAUGCGGGUGCUGUAUCAGUGGAUGUGCAGUUUGCCGUACCGGAGGAUCCGGUUCGGGCCCAACCCGGUCAGCUCAAAGAAUGAGCUAAACGUGGCCGGGCCUGCGUCCAUAUUUUUUCAGAGGAUAGUGCCGCGAUCUUCGCGUUUCACACACGAUUCAAGAUUCGCUGAUAUUUUAUGAAAAUCCCGGGGUUUGAAAUCGAAUAGUAAAUUCGCUAAACGUUCGUGAGAUCGUAAAGUUAAAACAAUUGCAAUCGCGAGUGUUAAGAAUUGAGUAAAAUGCAAUCAACGUGGGACGCCCAGUAAUGCUGAGAAGGCUGGAUGCUGAAACAAACGGUGGAUUUUGUCAGUGGACCUGGCUGGACAUCAUCGAAUUUCUAUGAAAUGAUCCUGCGGGAAAAUCCAGUCGAUCGCCGCAGAGGGGAGCCGAUCCGCUCGCGAAUCCGCCGCGCUUCCAGAUCGAUUUUCUCGAGACUGACGACCAGUGGAGUGGGCGUUAUUACGAAAAUAAAUAGCUACUCUCAUCUCAAUACUCUCCUGCCGUCGACAGUAGGGUGAAAAAUAUUUCAAGACAAAAUCUUUUGCGCGGACUGUACCACAACGAGGGUAAGGUGGUCGCGGGGCGACCGGGAAGUCGCGUCACGCGGCAAUGCUAAUACAACGGAUAAGAAACGUAAACAUCCCUUCUAUCAACAGUCAACCGUCGUCGGCCAAGCGCCGAGCGAUAACGGCAAUCAAAGCAGUCCGGACUUUGACGGGGGUCGAACGUACUCUCGCGCGUCUCUUCCGGAGCGUUCCGUUUCAUUACGCCUCGAGUCGACGAGUAGUACGCGUGUACGCGGAGCACGUGUGUCGCGUUGCGCGCGUUGCACAUCUCAUCUCCGCCGAUUAAAACAUUUCACCGGCUCUUGAACUACUCGGUCGGACUCUCGUCGACAUCGCGUUCAGUGACAAUCCGAUCGAAUCGUAUCUGCGCGAGUGUCAGUGUCAGUGCCACUGCUAACGCCACGACGGAGAAGCCAGGAUUCUAGAGAGAUAGGAUGAGGAACGGAGGACACUGAGACACGAUACUUCUAAGCAGAGCGGUACUUCUAAACUUCCAGCUGUAUUUCCGAGGUUCACGGAGUUCUGCGAAAUCAUAGUUGCCAAUCACGCACACUCGGACUCUUUUCCGGAAAUGCUCUAUAUCUUUCGUACUUCUGAAUAUGUUUACAUAAGAAAAUUAUUAUAAACAGUUUAGGCUUACGAUAUUAUGUGUGCAAAACUACAAAUAGAUAUCUCUUACAGUUCUUGUAAAAAAAUUUAUAAGAAAGAUCUGUUUUUGAUCCUCGAAAGGAAGAAAGCUCUUCCCACCCGACAAGACCGAAAAUCGUACAAUCGAUGGGAGAGUGGACAAAUUAUCGAGUUAUCGCGCUGAAGAGAGGACUUCGUCGUCCAAACGAAAAUCUGGUACUUAAAAUUACCGACUUAAAAUUUGAUUAAAACGGGAUUAACCGAGUGUUUGGUAGUUGCAACCAGAAUAUUUAAUCGCCCCUUGCAUGUCGUGCUCUCUCACCAAUACAUCCUACUUGACACAAGCGAAAAACGCGGUGACAGAAAAAUCGUAUGUAACCGAAUACAUAUUUUACUUCCAAAUACGAGAGCAAUUCUUUCGCGGCACGCGCGCUGCAAAACGCGAGCUUCAAUUCGCUCGUGUCGCAAGCAGCGGGGCAUUCAGGCGCGAUCACACCGUGAAGAAAAAACCGGUGAUAUAUCGGCCGCGCCUUCAGCGUCAGGUCGCACUCGUGGAUAAACUAAUAUCCUACUGACCGUUAUCUGUUAAUUACGAGUGUUUCUUGCGCCGGCGGAGAAUAUCUCCGUUAAAUUUGCGCCGCACGUAGUCGGCAUACCUACCUACCUACCCACCUGCCUACCUACCUACAUACAUACGAGCCGAAUA